rnacentral:rRNA from 1 species
CAGCAGCCACGGUAAUACGAAGGGGGCUAGCGUUGUUCGGAUUUACUGGGCGUAAAGCGCACGUAGGCGGACUUUUAAGUCAGGGGUGAAAUCCCGGGGCUCAACCCCGGAACUGCCUUUGAUACUGGGAGUCUUGAGUUCGAGAGAGGUGAGUGGAAUUGCGAGUGUAGAGGUGAAAUUCGUAGAUAUUCGGAGGAACACCAGUGGCGAAGGCGGCUCACUGGUCCAUUACUGACGCUGAGGCACGAAAGCGUGGGGAGCAAACAGGAUUAGAUACCCCAGUAGUCCCUGUCUCUUAUAC